AGAGAGCAUGGAAAUGAGGGCCCCUACUCAGGUCCUGGGGAUCCUGAUGCUCUGGCUUCCAGGUGCACUAUGUGACAUCCAGAUGACCCAGUCUCCAUCCUACCUGUCUGCGUCUUUAGGAGACACAGUCACCAUUACUUGCCAGGCCAGUCAGAGUGUUAGAAAUUACUUAAACUGGUAUCAACAGAAACCAGGGAAAGCUCCUACUCUCCUGAUUUGUAAUACUAACAAUUUGCAAUCUGGAGUGUCAUCUAGGUUCAGUGGCAGUGGAUCCAAUACAGAUUUCACUCUCUCCAUCAGCAACUUGGAGCCUGAAGAUGUUGCAACUUAUUACUGUCUACAGCAUAAUAAUUUCCCUCCCACAGUGAUAUAA